rnacentral:rRNA from 1 species
AUUGAACGCUGGCGGCAGGCCUAACACAUGCAAGUCGAACGAGUGGCGGACGGGUGAGUAAUGUCUGGGAAACUGCCUGAUGGAGGGGGAUAACUACUGGAAACGGUAGCUAAUACCGCAUACCAUCAGAUGUGCCCAGAUGGGAUUAGCUUGUUGGUGGGGUAACGGCUCACCAAGGCGACGAUCCCUAGCUGGUCUGAGAGGAUGACCGCCCACACGGGAACGUAGAAACGGUCCAGACUCCUACGGGAGGCAGCAGGGGGGAAUAUUGCACAAGGGGCGAAAGCCUGAUGGAGCAAUGCCGCGUGGAUGAAGAAGGCCUUGGGGUUGGAAAUUACUUUCAGGGGGGAGGCGUUACCGGAAGAAGAAGCACCGGCUAACCCCGUGCCAGCCGCCGCGGUAAUAC